AUCCGUACUUGGGUAGAUUUUUCCCCCAAAAAUCUAUUUCGUUAGCUACUUUCCAUUAAGCACCUGCAGAAGUUGUUUCUUAUUCCUUCAGGGGUUACUUCCAAGAGCAGGCAGUGGGCAGGAUUAUUGAUCCAACACGCUGCUUCUGUCCUGUGUGAAUUCAUCUCCUGAGCACCUGCACCAGGCCGUGCCUCUGUCUUAACCCCAUUGCAGAAAUUCACGGCAGCGUCAGGAAUGUGGCGUCUGUCAACACGUGCUGCAAGAGAAAUACAGAAGCCUAAACCCAGGUCCUGAGAGGAGGCG